CAGCAUCAACCAUGCUCCUGCCUCAGGGCCUUUGUACCAGCUCUUUUCAUUACCUGAAAUGCUCUUCCCCCAGAUAUCUACAUGUCUGAAAUGACUUCUUCAGAUUAAGGAAACUUUUUCAAAUCCACAGCCAGUGAGUUGUACAGUUAGAACACAAUCCUAUAUUUCUGAUCCCAGAACCUGAGCUGGUCGUAAUACCAGCAUUUUUAAUAUUACCGCUGGAAGGCUUAGAAGUGUGUCUUUGCAAUGACAAAAUACAUUGAGAAGCAAUUUACAUCCUAAAUAAUUGUGGCUGAAUGAAAAUGGAGAUUGACAAAAAGAUCUUAUCAGUUUUUCUGUUUUGGAAGUUGAGGAAGACGUGUUAUAUUCCUAUAUUAGAAGAUCUAUUUAUGCUGAUUAAUAUGAGCCAGAAGAGAAAAGGGAUGGAUGAUGCAGAAGACACAUAGAGAUCUGAUAAAGUGAAAAUUCUUACAGUGGCAAAAAGAUGGGUUUCAGUAUGCUUUUGUACAUUAGGGAACUCAUUUUCCUCUGGGUGGUUAAAAGAUUGCCAAGGAGAAUUUUAGCAUCGACAGUUUUAAAGGAAUCAAUUUUCAGCAACUCAAUUUUCAUGUGAACUUUUCUAAAGCGAUGUCGCUGAAAAAUUUAUCUAUACUCAGGAUACACUUUUUUGUUCCCAAAAGAAUGGCAUCAUUCAAAAUCUUAAUGUAGUGCAUUAUCCUGUGGUGGAUUACUUCUGGAGUAACAAAUAGCAAGGCUAUCUAACGAUAAUUCAAUAUUUCAGUCUAAAGUUUCUCAUUCUUCAUGUUCCAUCUACAUUUCUCUCUCUCUCUCUUUCUCUGUCUGUCUAUCUAUCUAUCUAUCUAUCUAUCUAUCUAUCUAUCUAAUCUAUCUAUCUACCAAUCUAUCUACCUUUCUAUCUAUCAUCUAUCUGAUCUAUCUCUAGUAAAGUGAAGCCUGGCAUUUAGAAAAGUGGCGUAUUCAUCCAUGUUGAGGUGUUGUGAGUUAAGAUAUAGGUAGGAAUAAAAUGGAAAACACUUUCCUUAAAUAUAUUUUAUAUUCUCCUACUAUUGAUUCCUUUACAACUAUUUCAAUUUAAGAAGAAAAAUGUCAGAUAGUGUGAUAUGAAUCAUGUUUGAGAAAUAUUUCCUUGAGAGUUUGACUAGUGCAACAAAAAAUAUCUGUAAGGGACAAUGAAUGUUAAAAAUGGUUUUAUUCCUGUGCUCGAGCAAAACCUACUCUUUUUAUGUAUUCUCAAUUUUCAGCCCUAGAAUGUGUUAUUAACUUGAAAGAAAAACUCUCCCAAAGAUCUAAAAGUUAUGCUGAUUUUUUAGAAAUAACUAAAGGUUUUCAAGACUACCAAAAUUUCAAGCUACAUGGGACAAUUACCAAUGUAUGGUGUGUGAGGGGAAGACUGUAGUAAGUUUAGAUGUCACUGAAUAUUUUUCACUAAGGGAUUUAAAGCAUUUUAUACUAUACAAAACAAUAAAAUGUCUAUUUUAUUUUCAGUGAAUUUAUUUUUCUUGGAAAAAUAUUUAUUAAAUUCUACCUCAUUAAGAAACAAAUAUCACAAGCAUUUAUAGAUUAACAGUAUAUUGAUUUGUUUCCUAACUAAAUAUAUCU
rnacentral:lncRNA from 1 species